rnacentral:rRNA from 1 species
UAAGUAGGGGGCAAGCGAUGUCCGGAAUUACUGGGUGUAAAGGGCGUGUAGGCGGGAAAGCAAGUCAGAUGUGAAAUCCCAUGGCUUAACUGUGGAGCUGCAUCUGAAACUGUUUUUCUUGAGUAUCGGAGAGGAAAGUGGAAUUCCAAGUGUAGCGGUGAAAUGCGUAGAGAUUUGGAGGAACACCAGUGGCGAAGGCGGCUUUCUGGACGAUAACUGACGCUGAGGCGCGAAAGCGUGGGGAGCAAACAGG